rnacentral:rRNA from 1 species
UACGUAGGGACCGAGCGUUGUCCGGAUUUAUUGGGCGUAAAGAGCUCGUAGGCGGCCGAUCGCGUCGGAUGUGAAAGCUCAAGGCUCAACCUUGAGAGGCCAUUCGAUACGGAUCGGCUAGAGGUAGGUAGGGGAAAGUGGAAUUCCUGGUGUAGCGGUGAAAUGCGCAGAUAUCAGGAGGAACACCGGUGGCGAAGGCGGCUUUCUGGGCCUUACCUGACGCUGAGGAGCGAAAGCUGGGGGAGCGAACAGG